CCGGAAACUGGGUAUAAUACCCGAUAGGUCUCGAUUGCUGGAAUGCAUCGAGAUUUAAAGCUCCGGCGCCUAAGGAUGGGUCUGCGGCCUAUCAGGUAGUAGUGGGUGUAGCGUACCUACUAGCCUACGACGGGUACGGGUUGUGAGAGCAAGAGCCCGGAGAUGGAUUCUGAGACACGAAUCCAGGCCCUACGGGGUGCAGCAGGCGCGAAAACUUUACAAUGCUGGCAACAGCGAUAAGGGAACCUCGAGUGCCAGGUUACAAAUCUGGCUGUCGAGAUGCCUAAAAAGCAUUUCAUAGCAAGGGCCGGGCAAGACCGGUGCCAGCCGCCGCGGUAACACCGGCGGCUCGAGUGGUAACCGUUAUUAUUGGGUCUAAAGGGUCUGUAGCCGGCCGGAUAAGUCUCUUGAGAAAUCUGGCAGCUUAACUGUCAGGCUUUCAGGAGAUACUGUCUGGCUCGAGGCCGGGAGAGGUGAGAGGUACUUCAGGGGUAGGGGUGAAAUCUUGUAAUCCUUGAAGGACCACCAGUGGCGAAGGCGUCUCACCAGAACGGACCUGACGGCAAGGGACGAAAGCUAGGGGCACGAACCGGAUUAGAUACCCGGGUAGUCCUAGCCGUAAACGAUACUCGCUAGGUGUCGGCCACGGUGCGACCGUUGUCGGUGCCGUAGGGAAGCCGUGAAGCGAGCCACCUGGGAAGUACGGCCGCAAGGCUGAAACUUAAAGGAAUUGGCGGGGGAGCACCACAACGGGUGGAGCU
rnacentral:rRNA from 1 species